GACGAACGCUGGCGGCGUGCCUAAUACAUGCAAGUAGAACGCUGAAGGAGGAGCUUGCUCUUCUGGAUGAGUUGCGAAAGGGUGAGUAACGCGUAGGUAACCUGCCUGGUAGCGGGGGAUAACUAUUGGAAACGAUAGCUAAUACCGCAUAAGAGUAGAUGAUGCAUGACAUUUGCUUAAAAGGUGCAAUUGCAUCACUACCAGAUGGACCUGCGUUGUAUUAGCUAGUUGGUGGGGUAACGGCUCACCAAGGCGACGAUACAUAGCCGACCUGAGAGGGGGAUCGGCCACACUGGGACUGAGACACGGCCCAGACUCCUACGGGAGGCAGCAGUAGGGAAUCUUCGGCAAUGGACGGAAGUCUGACCGAGCAACGCCGCGUGAGUGAAGAAGGUUUUCGGAUCGUAAAGCUCUGUUGUAAGAGAAGAACGAGUGUGAGAGUGGAAAGUUCACACUGUGACGGUAUCUUACCAGAAAGGGACGGCUAACUACGUG
rnacentral:rRNA from 1 species